rfam:Bacterium F083 scaffold_234, whole genome shotgun sequence.
CGCGCGAGGUAGAGCGACCGGUAGGAUGCGAGGGCUUCGCCGCCUGUCAAGUCCUGUCGAACUCCGAAUGCGCGCGGGCCAAGCCCGGGAGAAAGGGGGCGGGUGCUAACGUCCGCUCCCGAGAGGAGAACAAUCCUGACCGCCGGCCAAAGCCCCGGAGUCGCGGCUAAGUUAUUCUAACGCGGUCCCUUCCCCAUGACAGCUAGCAUGUUGGCUUGGAAGCAGCCAUUCAUCCAAAGAGUGCGUAACAGCUCACUAGUCGAGGGAGGGGGCAUGGAUAAUAAUCGGGUAUUAAGCCGCGCGCUGAAGCCGCGGGACACGCGAGUGUCGGUAGGGGAGCAUUCCGGUCAGCGUCGAAGCGGGAGGCGCGAGCCGCCGUGGAGCGUCCGGAAAAGCAGAUGUAGGCAUAAGUAACGAUAAGGGGGGUGAGAUUCCCCCCCGCCGCAAGACCAAGGGUUCCCGGGCGACGCCAAUCGGCCCGGGGUAAGUCGGUUCCUAAUGAUAAGCCGAUGGGCGACGCAGAUGGAAGAGCCGGUCAACAUUCCGGCACUGGCCAUGCGGGCGAUGCGGGGACGCGGGAGUGACACCUCCGCCGGCCGACGGAAUGGCCGGUUGAAGGGCGUAGGCGCUGACGGGGGCAGGGAAGUCCACCCCCUGAGCCGAACCUGAUAGUACCGGAGGGGCCUCGGCCCCGACGGACAGCGAGGGUAACCAUGCCGCCGAGAAAAUCCGCUAAGCUCCACCGCAUGGGCAUCCGUACUCGAAACGGACACACGUGGUCGGGUAGAGCAUACCAAGGCGCUUGGGUGAUUCGUGGUCAAGGAACUAGGCAAACUGACCCCGUAACUUCGGGAGAAGGGGUCCUCCAGUGAUGGAGGCGCAGAGAAUGGGUCCAGGCAACUGUUUACCAAAAACACAGGGCUGUGCGAAGCAUCGAGGCGAAGUAUACAGCCUGACACCUGCCCGGUGCCGGAAGGUUAAGAGGAGAUGUCAGCCUUCGGGCGAAGCGUUGAAUUGAAGCCCCGGUAAACGGCGGCCGUAACUAUAACGGUCCUAAGGUAGCGAAAUUCCUUGUCGGGUAAGUUCCGACCUGCNNNNAUGGGACGAAAAGACCCCGUGAACCUUUACUGCAGCUUAGUGCUGCGCCCGGGCAUCGGAUGUGUAGGAUAGGCCGGAGGCAAUGAUGCGGCGACGCCAGUCGCCGUGGAGCCGCCGUUGAAAUACGGCCCUUCCGCUGUCUGGGCGCUAACCCCCGUGGUUGGGGGGACACCGCUUGGCGGGCAGUUUGACUGGGGUGGUCGCCUCCAAAAGCGUAACGGAGGCUCCUAAAGGUGCCCUCACGCCGAUUGGUAACCGGCGGUGGAGUGCAAUGGCAAAAGGGCGCUUGACUGGGAGGCAGACAUGCCGAUCAGGUGGGAAACCAGAGCAUAGUGAUCCGGCGGUUCCGCGUGGAAGGGCCGUCGCUCAAAGGAUAAAAGGUACUCCGGGGAUAACAGGCUGAUGAUUCCCAAGAGCUCAUAUCGACGGAAUCGUUUGGCACCUCGAUGU